rnacentral:tRNA from 1 species
ACGACGGGUCGCCGAGUGCGGGUCGCCACGCGUCUGCGUUGCGUGUGCGCGACGACCCAGGUCGGCGACGCGAGUUCGCGUCCCGUCCGCGGUC